AUUGAACGCUGGCGGCAUGCUUUACACAUGCAAGUCGAACGGUAACAGGCCGCCAGGUGCUGCCGAGUGGCGAACGGGUGAGUAAUGCAUCGGAGCGUGCCCAGUCGUGGGGGAUAACUACUCGAAAGAGUAGCUAAUACCGCAUACGAUCUAUGGAUGACAGCGGGGGACCGUAAGGCCUCGCGCGAUUGGAGCGGCCGAUGUCAGAUUAGGUAGUUGGUGGGGUAAAGGCUCACCAAGCCAACGAUCUGUAGCUGGUCUGAGAGGACGACCAGCCACACUGGGACUGAGACACGGCCCAGACUCCUACGGGAGGCAGCAGUGGGGAAUUUUGGACAAUGGGCGCAAGCCUGAUCCAGCAAUGCCGCGUGCAGGAAGAAGGCCUUCGGGUUGUAAACUGCUUUUGUACGGAACGAAACGGCUCUGGUUAAUACCCGGGGCUAAUGACGGUACCGUAAGAAUAAGCACCGGCUAACUACGUG
rnacentral:rRNA from 1 species